rnacentral:rRNA from 1 species
GCAGUAGCCGCGGGAAUACCGAGGGUGCGAGCGUUAAUCGGAUUUACUGGGCGUAAAGCGUGCGUAGGCGGCUUCUUAAGUCGGAUGUGAAAUCCCUGAGCUUAACUUAGGAAUUGCAUUCGAUACUGGGAAGCUAGAGUAUGGGAGAGGAUGGUAGAAUUCCAGGUGUAGCGGUGAAAUGCGUAGAGAUCUGGAGGAAUACCGAUGGCGAAGGCAGCCAUCUGGCCUAAUACUGACGCUGAGGUACGAAAGCAUGGGGAGCAAACAGGAUUAGAUACCCCAGUAGUCCCUGUCUCUUAUAC